rnacentral:tRNA from 1 species
GCGUCGGUGGCUCAGGGGUUAAGCACUUGACUUGUAAUCUAGAGUCCCUGGGUUCAAAUCCCGCGAUGUA